GUCUAUGGCUAUACCACCCUGAAUAUACCUGAUCUCAUCUGCUUUCAGAAGCUAAGCAGGGUCAGGCCUGGUUAGUACUUGGAUGGCAGAAAGUCUUAUUAGCUUUGGCUCUAUUUACU
rnacentral:rRNA from 1 species